AGACUGCCUCUGCAGAGAGAGGAGAGAGCCCCAUCUCACAGGCCCAGCUGCCCCAUGCGUGGCCCACCCUGCCAGCCAGGGGUGUGGCUCUCAGAGCCCAGUACAAGCUUGGCCUUCUGUAAUCACACGGCAAAACUGGACAGAAAGUACAGAGAUCUGUCACAGGCCCUCCGCCCUACACACACACAGCCUCUAUCCCUGACGGCAUCCUACUACAGCGGGCCACAUGUUACACAGCUGUGCCAUCACUGCCCGGAGCCCUCCGUCUACAACGGGCUCACUCUCGGUAUCAACUGUGGAGGCAGGCGCCAGAUCAUCUUGAGGAGGAGGACACUGGCACAAAGAGGGGACAUAGCUAACCCCAAGCCACACGACUCAUGCAGGAUUAAGUUCAGGGCCCUCACAGACGGGUCCUCCAGUAACAUCAAAAGACCUGGCCUUGGGCUUCCUAACCAUGCUGAUGCCCAUCAGCAAGUCAGGGACAGUCCGCUUUUGUCCCCAAGGCUCCGUGCGACAGUCUGGGCAAGGACUGCACGUGGGACGAAGGGAGGCGACUCUUCCGUGGUUCCGCAUGGGGGCCUCCAGCUCAAAUUAAACUGUCACCAAGUCAGGAAGCCACAGACCAAGGAAAUAAAAUGGAAAGAGUGGUUCUUUGCCUGAAGGAGCAGGGGAGCCCCAGUCAUGAGCGAAUGAGGCACGGAAAAGACAAGCGUGGCAGAACAGCCGGGAUUAUGAAAAGCCACGUGGGCGACACCAAUCCGUCUUCAAGCCCAGAAGCCAGCAAAAAAGAGAACAACAAGCAAUAUUUUAACUCAGCAAUCGUUUUGCAAAAGGGAGAGGUGGUAAGAGUGAGGGUGGUGAGAGCAGCCACCAUUUGUGGGGCUCCUGGAUGCAUGGGCCACAGGCGAAGCUGUGCAUCCCCCAGGAGUUGCUUCUGGUCCCAUUUACAGGAGGAGAAAAUCAAGGGUCAGAGAGGGUGACAUCGCAUUUAAAGCCACGCAGCUGGGAAGAGGUGAGCCAGGAUUCUGCGUGGUCCUCGAAGGCCUGUGUGGUGACAUGAAAUUUCACAAUACUAACCUUGGUCCCUCUACUGGCCCAGGGCCUGGCACAGCAGGUGCUCAGUAAAUGUGCUGCGUGACUGAAGGAAGGAAGGAGAGUGUAAGGUUGGGUGGCCCUCG
rnacentral:lncRNA from 1 species